UAUCAACGGCAUCACGAGGAUCCUACUGUCUCCCCCCUCUAAUCAGUGAAACUGAUCUCCCCGUGAAGAAGCGGGGAUAUACAUAUAAGACGAGAAGACCCCAUGGAGCUUUAAACCUGACAGCACCCGCUCAUUCUAUACCCCAUUAUUUGCCCGACCCCUGUCUGCUCAGUUUUAGGUUGGGGUGACCACGGAGUAUAAAAUAACCUCCAUGAAGAAGGGGAUAUUUCCCUUAUUAGAGAACCACACUUCCAAGAACUAAUAAAUUAAUUUUCAAUGACCCGAUACCUGAUAAUCGAUCAACGAACCAAGUUACCCUGGGGAUAACAGCGCAAUCCACCCUGAAAGCCCUUAUUAACAGGUGGGUUUACGACCUCGAUGUUGGAUCA
rnacentral:rRNA from 1 species